AUGAACGCUAGCGAUAGGCUUAACACAUGCAAGUCGAGGGGCAGCACAAGGUAGCUUGCUAUCUGGGUGGCGACCGGCGCACGGGUGCGUAACGCGUAUGCAACUUGCCCUAUACAGGAGGAUAACCCGUCGAAAGACGGACUAAUGCUGCGUAUGCUCACAACUUGGCAUCAAGUGGUGAGGAAAGAAAUUCGGUAUAGGAUAGGCAUGCGUCCCAUUAGCUUGUUGGUGAGGUAACGGCUCACCAAGGCAACGAUGGGUAGGGGAACUGAGAGGUUUAUCCCCCACACUGGUACUGAGACACGGACCAGACUCCUACGGGAGGCAGCAGUGAGGAAUAUUGGUCAAUGGGCGCGAGCCUGAACCAGCCAAGUCGCGUGAAGGAUGACUGUCUUAUGGAUUGUAAACUUCUUUUAUACGGGAAUAACAAGAGUCACGUGUGACUCCCUGCAUGUACCGUAUGAAUAAGCAUCGGCUAACUCCGUG
rnacentral:rRNA from 1 species